rnacentral:rRNA from 1 species
GACGAACGCUGGCGGCGUGCCUAACACAUGCAAGUCGAGCGGAGUCGAUCGACGGAAGCCUUCGGGCGGAAGAUGGUUGACUUAGCGGCGGAUGGGUGAGUAACGCGUGGGCAACCUGCCUCGAAGACCGGGAUAACAGCCCGAAGGGGCUGCUAAUACCGGAUGUGGUCAAGGAUCCGCAUGGAUUUUGAUUAAAGGGGAAACCCGUUUCGAGAUGGGCCCGUGUCCUAUCAGCUAGUUGGUGAGGUAAAAGCUCACCAAGGCGACGACGGGUAGCCGGCCUGAGAGGGUGACCGGCCACACCGGAACUGAGACACGGUCCAGACUCCUACGGGGGGCAGCAGUGGGGAAUCUUCCACAAUGGGCGAAAGCCUGAUGGAGCGACGCCGCGUGAGCGAAGAAGGCCUUCGGGUUGUAAAGCUCUGUCUGGAGGGACGAAGGAAGUGACGGUACCUCCGGAGGAAGCCACGGCUAACUACGUG